UACGUAGGGGGCGAGCGUUGUCCGGAUUUAUUGGGCGUAAAGAGCUCGUAGGCGGUCCGGUAAGUCCGCUGUGAAAGUCGGGGGCUCAACCCUCGGAUGCCGGUGGAUACUGUCGGGCUUGAGUACGGAAGAGGCGAGUGGAAUUCCUGGUGUAGCGGUGAAAUGCGCAGAUAUCAGGAGGAACACCAAUUGCGAAGGCAGCUCGCUGGGACGUUACUGACGCUGAGACGCGAAAGCGUGGGGAGCAAACAGG
rnacentral:rRNA from 1 species